UACGAAGGUCCCAAGCGUUGUUCGGAAUUACUGGGCGUACAGGGAGCGUAGGCGGUUGGGUAAGCCCUCCGUGAAAUCUCCGGGCCUAACCCGGAAAGUGCGGAGGGGACUGCUCGGCUAGAGGAUGGGAGAGGAGCGCGGAAUUCCCGGUGUAGCGGUGAAAUGCGUAGAGAUCGGGAGGAAGGCCGGUGGCGAAGGCGGCGCUCUGGAACAUUUUCUGACGCUGAGGCUCGAAAAGCGUGG
rnacentral:rRNA from 1 species